CCAAAUGCUAUGAUCAGAAAAGUAAACCAAUAGCUUUCUUUACAGAGAGGAGACAUCAUUGGCUGGAAGUGUCUCUAAGAAAGGAUUGGUUGAAGUGCAUCUGUGAGCUUCAUGCCUGAUAAUUAGUAGGGUAUGACGGUUAGUGAACCGUUAAAAGACUAUUGAGGGAAUCAGGUUGACUUUAGUAAGUCAGUCUGGUUAAAAUCAGAGUGGAACCGCGGACCUUUCGCCUCUGUA
rnacentral:ncRNA from 1 species